rnacentral:rRNA from 1 species
UACAGAGGUCCCAAGCGUUGUUCGGAUUCACUGGGCGUAAAGGGUGCGUAGGCGGUUGGGUAAGUCUGAUGUGAAAUCUCACAGCUUAACUGUGAAACUGCAUUGGAUACUAUCCGGCUAGAGGAAUGGGAGGGGAGACUGGAAUACUUGGUGUAGCAGUGAAAUGCGUAGAUAUCAAGUGGAACACCAGUGGCGAAGGCGAGUCUCUGGACAUUUCCUGACGCUGAGGCACGAAAGCCAGGGGAGCAAACGGG